rnacentral:rRNA from 1 species
GGUUAAGCGACUAAGCGUACACGGUGGAUGCCCUGGCAGUCAGAGGCGAUGAAGGACGUGCUAAUCUGCGAAAAGCGCCGGCGAGGUGAUAUGAACCCUUGACCCGGCGAUGUCCGAAUGGGGAAACCCAGUGCAAUUCGUUGCACUAUCGUUAACUGAAUACAUAGGUUAACGAGGCGAACCGGGGGAACUGAAACAUCUAAGUACCCCGAGGAAAAGAAAUCAACCGAGAUUCCCCCAGUAGCGGCGAGCGAACGGGGAGCAGCCCGGAGUCUGAAUCAGCUUGUGUGUUAGUGGAACGGUCUGGAAAGUCCGACGGUACAGGGUGAUAGUCCCGUACACGAAAGCACACAUGCUGUGAACUCGAAGAGUAGGGCGGGACACGUGGUAUCCUGUCUGAAUAUGGGGGGACCAUCCUCCAAGGCUAAAUACUCCUGACUGACCGAUAGUGAACCAGUACCGUGAGGGAAAGGCGAAAAGAACCCCGGCGAGGGGAGUGAAAAAGAACCUGAAACCGUGUACGUACAAGCAGUGGGAGCCUCUUUAUGGGGUGACUGCGUACCUUUUGUAUAAUGGGUCAGCGACUUAUAUUCUGUAGCAAGGUUAACCGUAUAGGGGAGCCGAAGGGAAACCGAGUCUUAACUGGGCGUUAAGUUGCAGGGUAUAGACCCGAAACCCGGUGAUCUAGCCAUGGGCAGGUUGAAGGUUGGGUAACACUAACUGGAGGACCGAACCGACUAAUGUUGAAAAAUUAGCGGAUGACCUGUGGCUGGGGGUGAAAGGCCAAUCAAACCGGGAGAUAGCUGGUUCUCCCCGAAAGCUAUUUAGGUAGCGCCUCGUGAACUCAUCUUCGGGGGUAGAGCACUGUUUCGGCUAGGGGGCCAUCCCGGCUUACCAACCCGAUGCAAACUACGAAUACCGAAGAAUGUUAUCACGGGAGACACACGGCGGGUGCUAACGUCCGUCGUGAAGAGGGAAACAACCCAGACCGCCAGCUAAGGUCCCAAAGUCAUGGUUAAGUGGGAAACGAUGUGGGAAGGCACAGACAGCCAGGAUGUUGGCUUAGAAGCAGCCAUCAUUUAAAGAAAGCGUAAUAGCUCACUGGUCGAGUCGGCCUGCGCGGAAGAUGUAACGGGGCUAAACCAUGCACCGAAGCUGCGGCAGCGACGCUUAUGCGUUGUUGGGUAGGGGAGCGUUCUGUAAGCCGUUGAAGGUGUGCUGUGAGGCAUGCUGGAGGUAUCAGAAGUGCGAAUGCUGACAUAAGUAACGAUAAAGCGGGUGAAAAGCCCGCUCGCCGGAAGACCAAGGGUUCCUGUCCAACGUUAAUCGGGGCAGGGUGAGUCGACCCCUAAGGCGAGGCCGAAAGGCGUAGUCGAUGGGAAACAGGUUAAUAUUCCUGUACUUGGUGUUACUGCGAAGGGGGGACGGAGAAGGCUAUGUCAGCCGGGCGACGGUUGUCCCGGUUUAAGCAUGUAGGCGGAGGUUCCAGGUAAAUCCGGUACCUUAUUAACGCUGAGGUGUGAUGACGAGGCACUACGGUGCUGAAGUGAUAAAUGCCCUGCUUCCAGGAAAAGCCUCUAAGCAUCAGGUAACACGAAAUCGUACCCCAAACCGACACAGGUGGUCAGGUAGAGAAUACCAAGGCGCUUGAGAGAACUCGGGUGAAGGAACUAGGCAAAAUGGUGCCGUAACUUCGGGAGAAGGCACGCUGAUGUGUAGGUGAAGCCCCUGCGGGCGGAGCUGAAAUCAGUCGAAGAUACCAGCUGGCUGCAACUGUUUAUUAAAAACACAGCACUGUGCAAACACGAAAGUGGACGUAUACGGUGUGACGCCUGCCCGGUGCCGGAAGGUUAAUUGAUGGGGUUAGCGGCAACGCGAAGCUCUUGAUCGAAGCCCCGGUAAACGGCGGCCGUAACUAUAACGGUCCUAAGGUAGCGAAAUUCCUUGUCGGGUAAGUUCCGACCUGCACGAAUGGCGUAAUGAUGGCCAGGCUGUCUCCACCCGAGACUCAGUGAAAUUGAACUCGCUGUGAAGAUGCAGUGUACCCGCGGCAAGACGGAAAGACCCCGUGAACCUUUACUAUAGCUUGACACUGAACACUGGUCCUUGAUGUGUAGGAUAGGUGGGAGGCUUUGAAGCGUGGACGCCAGUCUGCGUGGAGCC